UGAGGAAUAUUGGUCAAUGGGCGAGAGCCUGAACCAGCCAAGUAGCGUGAAGGAUGACUGCCCUAUGGGUUGUAAACUUCUUUUAUAAAGGAAUAAAGUCGGGUAUGGAUACCCGUUUGCAUGUACUUUAUGAAUAAGGAUCGGCUAACUCCGUGCCAGCAGCCGCGGUAAUACGGAGGAUCCGAGCGUUAUCCGGAUUUAUUGGGUUUAAAGGGAGCGUAGAUGGAUAUUUAAGUCAGUUGUGAAAGUUUGCGGCUCAACCGUAAAAUUGCAGUUGAUACUGGAUAUCUUGAGUGCAGUUGAGGCAGGCGGAAUUCGUGGUGUAGCGGUGAAAUGCUUAGAUAUCACGAAGAACUCCGAUUGCGAAGGCAGCCUGCUAAGCUGCAACUGACAUUGAGGCUCGAAAGUGUGGGUAUCAAACAGGGUUAGAUACCCUGGUAGUCCACACGGUAAACGAUGAAUACUCGCUGUUUGCGAUAUACUGCAAGCGGCCAAGCGAAAGCGUUAAGUAUUCCACCUGGGGAGUACGCCGGCAACGGUGAAACUCAAAGGAAUUGACGGGGGCCCGCACAAGCGGAGGAACAUGUGGUUUAAUUCGAUGAUACGCGAGGAACCUUACCCGGGCUUAAAUUGCAGAUGAAUUACGGUGAAAGCCGUAAGCCGCAAGGCAUCUGUGAAGGUGCUGCAUGGUUGUCGUCAGCUCGUGCCGUGAGGUGUCGGCUUAAGUGCCAUAACGAGCGCAACCCUUGUUGUCAGUUACUAACAGGUUUUGCUGAGGACUCUGACAAGACUGCCAUCGUAAGAUGUGAGGAAGGUGGGGAUGACGUCAAAUCAGCACGGCCCUUACGUCCGGGGCUACACACGUGUUACAAUGGGAGGUACAGAGGGCCGCUACCACGCGAGUGGAUGCCAAUCCCCAAAACCUCUCUCAGUUCGGACUGGAGUCUGCAACCCGACUCCACGAAGCUGGAUUCGCUAGUAAUCGCGCAUCAGCCACGGCGCGGUGAAUACGUUCCC
rnacentral:rRNA from 1 species